rnacentral:rRNA from 1 species
UAUUGCACAAUGGAGGAAACUCUGAUGCAGUGACACCGCGUAUAGGAAGAAGGUUUUCGGAUUGUAAACUAUUUUAGACAGGGAAGAAAAAAGACAGUACCUGUAGAAUAAGCUCCGGCUAACUACGUGCCAGCAGCCGCGGUAAUACGUAGGGGGCAAGCGUUAUCCGGAUUUACUGGGUGUAAAGGGAGCGUAGGUGGCAGGGCAAGUCAGAUGUGAAAACCCGGGGCUCAACCCCGGGAGUGCAUUUGAAACUGUCCAGCUGGAGUGCAGGAGAGGUAAGCGGAAUUCCUGGUGUAGCGGUGAAAUGCAUAGAUAUUAGGAGGAACACCAGUGGCGAAGGCGGCCUACUGGACGGUGACUGACGCUGAGGCUCGAAAGCGUGGGGAGCAAACAGG